UGUGUUAUAGUUUGAUUCACUACUCGUAGGGCCUUCAUUAAAUCAACGUAAAAAUUUGAUGCAUGUGUUCAAAACAAGAUGAAGAUCUAAAGUUAACGAAAUUGCAACUUUUCAUAAUACUGUGUGACCGUGGUGUGGCUUCCAGUUUGAGGAAUGAAAACAUCUAUAUCUGGCAGAUGUGCUGCAAUAUUUAGUCACUAGAUGGCAGUGUCAGACCAUGCUUUGUGUUAUCUAUGCAUUAACAGACUGUGUUUACAGGGUGGCCAACUUUAGAGGAGAAUUAAACCUUUUACAGCAUUGCUCAAACUUUGGUUUUAGUCUCAAUCGCUAAGUUCUUCCUUCAUGACAACUCUGAGGGGGGUGUAUUUUAUUUUAACUCCCUUGUUUAAGCGAUAUAGAUGUUUGAAAUUCACGUGACGUCACAGUGUAAGCUGUGCUGUGUGUUGUGAGUUCGGCUUUCACCAGUUACACGUGAACGCCUCAUGAAAUGGCUUACACCCACAUACCCGGUAAAUUACACACUUUGAUGUUCUGCUCCUUCUCCUGACGGUCACGGUAACGAUGUCUGCGCCUCCGUUUCUGUGGAUGUCCAGCGUGAGACACAACUUGAAUCCAACCAGACUGAACACUGACUCCAGGGACGGACGAGCCUGAAGGACACAGCUGUGAUGACCAAUUGACCAUGUUUUGUCUCUUAUGGCAAAGCAGAAAUAUUAAACACUGGGUUCUUAUCUAAAGUGUACCAAAUCAGAAAGCAAAAGAUACACAUUGUUGUUAUAAGUUUUUAUUAUUUUAACCAACCAUAAUGAAGAUAGAAAUGAAUUCUUAUCCAUGCCACUUAGCAAUGACUGCCACCACCAAACAGUUGCAGGCCAUCUUUAUUUAAGGGAGGAAUUUAGAAGUGUUGUGUAGCUUCUGAUGAUGAUGCAGUCGUCCACUUGUUGACCACCAUGUUGCUGCUGACGACGUCAGGUGCUGCAGUUCCUCAUCUAUAAAGAGAAGAAACGCACUGUUAAAGAAUGUUUUGAGUUGUGUAUGAAGCACAACAGAUUUCAGAUAGAACCGUUGUACUGUGGUCUGGGUUUGUAUCCUAAUGGUUAAAUGCACAUAUUUUAAGUCGCUUUUGAUAAAAGUACUGAAAGAAAUACAACAUUGUAAAAAUAGAUAAAAUGUCUUUCUACCUCAUCUGUAAUAUUCAAGGUGAUAAUCUCCCACAGAGCUAUUGAUAACAGUCCACAUCAAGUCUCUCCACUUCCCUCAGUGUGAAAACAUAAUUAUAUAAUUAAUUUGAGAACUGUUUACAACACUGAUGUGUGGAGAUUAAAAUCAUAUCUAAACUGUCUAAUUCACUGUAAAACUCCAUGACAUUCGCAGGCCAUCUGUAGUUAAGGGAGCAACGUAUGGAGUGAUGUGUAGAGGGCAGAAACUUGGACUAUGGGCAGAGAAGGUCUCUGGUUCGUCUCCGGUUCGACUCCACGGAGAGACAACAAAAGACAAACCUGGAUUGAUCUGUCCAAAAAUCCAAGAGUCUCCCUACCCUCUCUAGUGCCCCUGAGCAAGGCACCUCACUCCCCCAACAUCUGCUCCGUGAGCGCCGUACAUGGUCGCUCACUGCUCUGUGUGUCCUGCACCAGAUGGGUAAAAAGCAGAGAUUAAAUUUCCCUACCUGCAUGAGUGUGCCUUUGCAUGUCUGUGCAUGUGUUUGGGACGAAUAAAUGGAUCUUAAUCUUAA